UAUAAAUAAUAAAUUUUAUUAAUUACUGGUCCUUUCGUACUAUGUAAUUAUUUUUUUAUAUAAAAGAUAGAAACCAAUCUGGUUUACACCGAUUUGAACUCAGAUCAUGUAAAGUAUUAUUAGUCGAACAGACUAUCUUUUAAAUUUUUUGCUAUUUAAAGUUACUUUAAUCCAACAUCGAGGUCGUAAUUUUUCUUUUCGAUUUGGGCUCUUAAAGAAAAUUUACGCUGUUAUCCCUAAGGUAAUUUAUUUUGUUUUAUUUAUAAAAUGAUUUUUAUAUUAUAUUUUUAUUAAAGAAAAAUAAUUAUUUCUUAGUUGCCCCAACAAAAUUUAUUAUUAUUUAAUUUUUAAAAGUAAUAAAUAAAACUCUAUAGGGUCUUUUUGUCUUUUUAUUUUAUUAAAGCUUUUUAACUUUAAGAUUAAAUUUUAGGUAUAUAAAAGAGACAGAAAAAUUUCGUUGAGCCAUUCAUUCUAGUCUUUAAUUAAAAGACAAAUGAUUAUGCUACCUUAGCACAGUUAAAAUUCUGCGGCCAUUUAGAAGUUCCAUUGGGCAGGCUACACU
rnacentral:rRNA from 1 species